UACGUAGGGUGCAAGCGUUAAUCGGAUUUACUGGGCGUAAAGGGCGCGUAGGCGGCUUAACAAGUCACUUGUGAAAUCUCCGGGCUUAACUCGGAACGGCCAAGUGAAACUGUCAAGCUAGAGUGCAGAAGGGGCAAUCGGAAUUCUUGGUGUAGCGGUGAAAUGCGUAGAUAUCAAGAGGAACACCUGAGGUGAAGACGGGUUGCUGGGCUGACACUGACGCUGAGGCGCGAAAGCCAGGGGAGCAAACGGG
rnacentral:rRNA from 1 species